CGUGAGGGAAAGGUGAAAAGCACCCCGGGAGGGGAGUGAAACAGUUCCUGAAACCGUGCGCCCACAAACCGUCGGAGCCUCUGUGUGGGGUGACGGCGUGCCUAUCGAAAAAUGAGUCUGCGAGUCAGUGGCGGGUGGCGAGCAUAAGCCGUGUGGCGUAUGCGUAGCGAAAGCGAGUCUUAAAAGGCGUUUUUAGUCGCUUGUCCUGGACCCGAAGCGGGAUGAUCUAGCCCUGGGCAGGUUGAAGCGCGGGUAAGACCGCGUGGAGGACCGAACCCACCUGGGUUGAAAACCGGGGGGAUGACCUGGGGCUAGGGGUGAAAGGCCAAUCAAAUUCCGUGAUAGCUGGUUCUCUCCGAAAUGCAUUUAGGUGCAGCGUCGGUCGAUUGCGUCGCGGGGGUAGAGCUACCGGAUGCUUGCGGGCCCUUGUUGGGUACCAACAGCAGCCGAACUCCGAAUACCGUUGACGUGUAUUCCGGCAGUGAGUCGGCGGGGGAUAAGCUCCGUCGUCGAGAGGGAGACAGCCCAGACCGUCGUCUAAGGUCCCGAAGCGUGUGCUAAGUGGGAAAGGAUGUGGAGUCGCAUAGACAGCCAGGAGGUUGGCUCAGAAGCAGCCAUCCUUGAAAGAGUGCGUAACAGCUCACUGGUCUAGUGGUUCCGCGCCGACAAUGUAGCGGGGCUCAAGCACACCACCGAAGACGCGGCAGCAAUCUUCAUGGUUGCUGGGUAGGAGAGCGUCCUGCGAGGGGCGAAGCGGCCGGGUAACCGUGCCGUGGACUUCGUGGGAGUGAGAAUGCAGACAUGAGUAGCGAGAGACGGGUGAGGAUCCCGUCCGCUGGAUGACCAAGGGUUCCGGGGCCACGUUCGUCGUCCCCGGGUGAGUCGGGUCCUAAGGCGAGGCCGACAGGCGUAGUCGAAUGGAUGAACGGGUGGAUAUUCCCGUACCGACCAUGGACCGGCAAAACCGAGACGGUGAGUACUAACCUCCGCCUCGUGGUGGUUCCUUCCUUCGGGUUGGUUCCGCCGCGUGGUGUUGGGAGCGUAGCCGCAGUAGGUCAGCGCAGGGGUGACACGGAAUGGGAGCCGGCCGCGGAGGUGGUUUUCCGUGGUCAAGCACGCAGCCAGUCAUGUAGGCAAAUCCGCAUGGCGCGCAUGGCGAGGUGUGAUGAUGGGAGCCGUUAUGGCUCGAUAUCCGGUUGUCCAGGCCGUCGAGAAAAGCCUCGGCGUGAGGGCCAUGGCCGCCCGUACCCCAAACCGACACUGGUGGUCAGGUAGAGAAUACCAAGGCGAUCGAGCGAAUCCUGGUCAAGGAACUCGGCAAAUCACUCCCGUGCCUUCGGUAUAAGGGAGACCCACUGGGGUGAAGGACCUUGCGUCCGGAGCUUUGGUGGGUGGCACAGACCAGGGGGUAGCGACUGUUUACCAAAAACACAGGUGCAUGCGAAGGCGAAAGCCGCUGUAUAUGCACUGACGCCUGCCCGGUGCCGGAAGGUUAAGAGGAUCCGUCAGUCCUUCGGGAUGAAGCGGUGAAUUCAAGCCCCGGUAAACGGCGGUGGUAACUAUAACCAUCCUAAGGUAGCGAAAUUCCUUGUCGGGUAAGUUCCGACCUGCACGAAUGGCGUAACGACUUCCCCACUGUCUCGACCAGGAGCUCGGCGAAAUUGCAGUACGAGUAAAGAUGCUCGUUAAGCGCAGAAGGACGAAAAGACCCCGGGACCUUUACUAUACCUUGGUAUUGGCGUUAGGCGCGGAUUGUGUAGCAUAGGCGGGAGGCUUCGAAGCGUGGGCGCCAGCUCAUGUGGAGCCGCAAGGUGAAAUACCGCUCUGUUCUCGUUUGACGUCUAACCUCGACAAGUCAUCCUUGUCAGGGACAGUGCCUGGCGGGUAGUUCAACUGGGGCGGUUGCCUCCCAAAGAGUAACGGAGGCGCUCAAAGGUCCGCUCAGCCCGGUUGGCAAUCGGGUGUCGAGUGUAAUCGCACAAGCGGGCUUGACUGCGAGGACGACGGUCCGAGCAGGGACGAAAGUCGGAGAUAGUGAUCCGGUGCCGGCGCACGGGCGCGGCAUCGCUCAACGGAUAAAAGGUACCCCGGGGAUAACAGGCUGAUCAUUCCCAAGAGUCCAUAUCGACGGGAUGGUUUGGCACCUCGAUGUCGGCUCGUCGCAUCCUGGGGCUGGAGCAGGUCCCAAGGGUUCGGCUGUUCGCCGAUUAAAGCGGCACGCGAGCUGGGUUCAGAACGUCGUGAGAC
rnacentral:rRNA from 1 species